rnacentral:rRNA from 1 species
UUGAAAGGGAAACGAUUGAAGUCAGUCGUACCAGCGGGAAAUCAACCUUUCGAGUGGUGUUUUGGAGUUUUGAAGUGUGUCAAAACCUUUGAGAUUUUAAAAUUUUCGCUCUUUUGGUGUACUUUCUCGUGGGUAGGUUAACAUCGAUUUUGAUCAUCAUAAAAAGAUUGGAGGAAUGUAGCUUCGAUCUUGUAUUGAAGUGUUAUAGCCUUUGGUAAAUGUGAUGAUUAGGAUCGAGGAUUGCAACGAAUACCCUUUUGGGCUAUCCGCCUGAUCUCUGAUACGUGGCCUUGGUAUCGAAAGCGUGCUUAUGGUAUCAAGGUAUUACGGUCAAAAGGUUAGAACGGAUUACAUUCGUUAAGGAUGUUGACGUA